rnacentral:misc_RNA from 1 species
UUGCAGGUAUCAAUUCCUUGCCACUGCUUUUUACUAUAUAUCAAUUGCAAGUACAUAAGCAAGUCCAAACAAUUUGUUGGUGCUUAUUUUCAGCAAACAAUAUGAUAAAGGAAUAAUAGUUGCAGUACAUAAAUAAAACAAUUAUUACAUCUUUAUUUACAGUAGAUUCAUUAUAAACACUUACGCGAGUGGGAGAUCAGAAGGGUAUUCUGAGAAUGGAAGAACGUUAUUCAGUUUAGGAUGGAAGUACUGAUCUAAUGUGAGAGGUUUAGGACCACCAAACCAAUCAAUCAAAAAUAUAUCUUCAAUGUCUAAUUUGAAGAAUUGGAAGUUGUGACCUUUAGGCCAGCCCUCCAUCUCAGGAUGUUUGGUAAAUAGGGCACUUCGAGCAAAUUCUAUUUCCUCAGAGUCUUCCUUGAGUAACUUUAACUAUUAUAUCAUAUGCAGCAACACUAGUUAGUGCACAGCUUUUCAGAACAAUCUAAUAAACAGCACGUUCAAUGACAAAAUGGAACAGAAUGACAACACUAAUAAGAUCCGCUAUAGCAUAGGUUUCUUUCUUCCUGAUUUUAUCAGAACACAAAAUAUAGAUCGAAUUAUUUGCAAAAUAAAAAUUUUGUGAAAAAGAAAUGCGUAAGACUAUGGUAUAAAAAAGGUGUAAAUAUUUACUCAAAAGCUUAUCCAUAAAAGUAUUUAUUCCUAGAUUUUUCUUCUUUUUCCUUUGCUCAAAAGAAGUGAGAAGGGUACUGUAAGAAGUCACAGAAGUGUGAGAAUUCUUCAGUUUUGGCUUUAAAUAAGGUGUUCAGGAUGUAUGUGGUAAGAUCUGUAUUGAAAUGAAAAAUUACAGAAAGUAUACUUCAUUCACACGCAUCUUGUUAUUCCAAGUCUCAAAAAAGCCUUCACAAGCCAUUAGGAGCAAAACUAUAACUAAGCAAUUCUGGGUUUAAAUAUAAGCUAUUUGUCGGUUAAUCAUGCACAACCCCAGGUUAAAAGAGAUCCACGAUGCUAGGCCUAAUAUAAUAAGAGCUCUAAAAAAUUAUUGUAAAAUGGUAAAAUGCAUAGGCCUAAUAUACCUAAGUUGCCUAAGUCCUAACAAGGUUUUCUCAAGUGGAGAUCUUUGUAUAAUCCUAUUAAUCAAAUCCAUAGUACUGAUUAAAAUAUCUAAAAAGAAUCAGAAAACAAGAAGUAUCAAGGUGACUAUGAUUUAGUAUGCGUACGCAAGGCAUUAUUGGCAAAUUAGUCUUCCCACAAAUAGUUCUUAGGAACCUUAUGCCAUGGCCAGUACAUUUAUUUUAUACGAAAACCAAAUAAAAACUAUAGUAGGAAAUGUAUGAUUUUGGGACAAACCUUUCCAGUGAGGGUAAUCUUUGCACAACUUGGGUUCUCGGGGUCUUUCUUGCCAC